CCUACGGGGGGCAGCAGUGAGGAAUAUUGGUCAAUGGACGAGAGUCUGAACCAGCCAAGUAGCGUGAAGGAUGACUGCCCUAUGGGUUGUAAACUUCUUUUAUAUGGGAAUAAAAUGUUCCACGUGUGGGAUUUUGUAUGUACCUUAUGAAUAAGGAUCGGCUAACUCCGUGCCAGCAGCCGCGGUAAUACGGAGGAUUCGAGCGUUAUCCGGAUUUAUUGGGUUUAAAGGGAGCGUAGGUGGGUUGUUAAGUCAGUUGUGAAAGUUUGGGGCUCAACCGUAGAAUUGCAGUUGAAACUGGCAGUCUUGAGUGCAGUAGAGGUGGGCGGAAUGCGUGGUGUAGCGGUGAAAUGCUUAGAUAUCACGAAGAACUCCGAUUGCGAAGGCAGUUCACUGGACUGCAACUGACGCUGAGGCUCGAAAGUGUGGGUAUCAAACAGGAUUAGAUACCCUGGUAGUC
rnacentral:rRNA from 1 species